rnacentral:rRNA from 1 species
CUGCAGCCCGAGUGGUGAUCGAUUUUAUUGAGCCUAAAGCGUCCGUAGCCGGACUAGUAAACCCUUGGGUAAAUUGGGCAGCUUAACUGUCCAAAUUCCGAGGGGACUGCUAGUCUUGGGACCGGGAGAGGUCAGAGGUACUCAAGGGGUAGGGGCUAAAUCCUGUAAUCCUUUGGGGACCACCAGUGGCGAAGGCGUCUGACUAGAACGGAUUCGACGGUGAGGGACGAAGCCCUGGGGCGCAAACCGGAUUAGAUACCCGAGUAGUCC